rnacentral:rRNA from 1 species
ACGGAAGGCAGCAGUGAGGAAUAUUGGUCAAUGGGCGCAGGCCUGAACCAGCCAAGUCGCGUGAGGGAUGACGGUCCUACGGAUUGUAAACCUCUUUUGCCGGGGAGUAAUGUGCGGGACGAGUCCCGUAUUGAGAGUACCCGGAGAAAAAGCAUCGGCUAACUCCGUGCCAGCAGCCGCGGUAAUACGGAGGAUGCGAGCGUUAUCCGGAUUUAUUGGGUUUAAAGGGUGCGCAGGCGGCGCGUCAAGUCAGCGGUCAAAUCCCGGGGCUCAACCUCGGUUCGCCGUUGAAACUGCCGUGCUCGAGUUCGUGCGAGGAGAGCGGAAUGCGUGGUGUAGCGGUGAAAUGCAUAGAUAUCACGCAGAACGCCGAUUGCGAAGGCAGCCCUCCAGCACUGGACUGACGCUGAGGCACGAAAGCGUGGGUAUCGAACAGGAUUAGAUACCCUGGUA